ensembl:lncRNA
AAGAAAUAACAUUUACAAAUGAGUGUGGACAUUUCUCCUCUGUAAGCAGAUAAAAUAUGAGAUCAGACAUUUCUCAGUGAAAGCAGUGGAUUAUUUGGCAGCUGGUUGCUGAGGACAAAAAAUGAUGGCAAUCUGGGCUUUUCCCUUGGUCUCCCUUUGCACUACACUUGCUUCUUGCAACAAAAGACAAUAGGAAGGGAGAACAGAGAAAACAGAAAGAUGGAAAGAAGGAAGGAAGGAAGGAAAUAAAGAAAGAGUUUAACUCCUGGUAGUGAGCCCCCCAGAAUGGUUUGCAUUAUGACAAAACUGAACCAUGAGUUGCUGAUCAGUGAAAGAACAGAUAUCUGACUAUAGGUAAGUUAUCAAGUUAAGUAAAUUAUGGGAUUAAUAAGUAAUGAAAUUGUGCCCUUGUGGGAUUUAUCUAUUCUCCAUUCCAUAGUGUAUCACUUGAAAAUAUUUUUAUUUCAAUCUACCUUAAUGCUGUGCUUGGCUUUUGUUUUUCAAAAGCCAUCAGAGCUGAUGAGAUGGUUUUUAUGAUACAGAGUGUACC